rnacentral:rRNA from 1 species
AGGACGAACGCUGGCGGCGCGCCUAACACAUGCAAGUCGAGCGAUAACCAGGGCUUGCCCUGGGGACAGCGGCGAACGGGUGCGUAACACGUGAGCAACCUGCCCCAAAGACCGGGACAACCCGAGGAAAACUCGGACUAAUACCGGAUGCCCUCACCGGGCCGCAUGGUCUGGUGAGGAAAUGGAUUCCGCUUUGGGAUGGGCUCGCGGUCUAUCAGCUUGUUGGUGGGGUAACGGCCUACCAAGGCGACGACGGAUAGCUGGUCUGAGAGGACGAUCAGCCACACUGGGACUGAGACACGGCCCAGACUCCUACGGGAGGCAGCAGUGGGGAAUCUUGCGCAAUGGGGGAAACCCUGACGCAGCGACGCCGCGUGCGGGAUGAAGGCCUUCGGGUUGUAAACCGCUUUCAGCAGGGACGAAUUGACGGUACCUGCAGAAGAAGGCCCGGCAACUACGCGCCAGCAGCCGC